rnacentral:lncRNA from 1 species
ACCAGAUGCUCCGCAGGGUGUAGCUUUAUACGACAGCAGAGGUUGAACCCUGAACGGUUGGGGCAAGUAUGGACACAACAUUCAAGCUGGAUUCAGCUCUAAAUUUGGAUUGUGAUUAAAUAGUUGACACAGCAUAGGUUUCUGACACAGAAUGAAUGUGUUCUAAUGAACUUAAAAUUUUUGUUUUCUCUUAGAGCAAUUCACUAUGCUGUUGAAUACUAAUC